CGAGAGGUCGCCAUUGAAGCCCCGGCGUUGAACAGCUGCAGCUCGUAUCAAGUCCGUAUUUUAUAUUUUAAACUGCUAGCUACACACCUAUGCUUAAAUCCAAACGGACUAAACCAAGUGGAAACGCUUUGGUAGAUGCCACGUGCAAAGUCAUGCCACCAUCAAUGGGAAUGGCACAUGGGACACGUGGCUUUCAACUCCAGCGAGGUGGCGGCACGGAUCUCUGCAUGUCUGACUGACAUCUCCCAGUGGAUGUCCGCCCAUCACCUGAAGAUCAACCCCGACAAGACUGAACUACUUCUCUUCCCUGGAAAAAACUCGCCCACUCAGGACCUGACUGUUAACUUUGGCGAACACCGUUAACAUCAGGAGAAUACGACCCCUUCUCACUCAGAUGGCGGCGCAGCACACGGCACAGGUUGGCGUCACAAUCAUGGCAAAGUUGACUGGACCACAGCGGAAAAUUAUCCUUCCAGAGAAGAAGUUAUUUACUUCUACAAUGAAUGGAAAAGUUACAACUUCCAGAUGACAGCUCUCCGCUCAUCCUUCUGGGCAACUUGAACAUCCGACAGAACUUAUGUGACCUACUGCGUUUUAUUUUCUCCUUUAGCUGUCAUUUAAGUAUUAAAAUUCGCUGUAUUUUUGCAAGAGAGGCACCAAUCCUAUUUGAGUGACGUUUCGAUUGUGAAAUUGUAUUGGACCAUAUAGGUCAUCUGCAGAGCGUUGGCCCCUGGCGCAGUAAACCAGGGUUUGAUUCUUGGCAUGCACAAGACUCCUCAUGUGACUUAAAAUGAAUCCAGAAUGCAAUAUUUGUUCAGUAUGCCAGGGCAGUGAUUUAUUUAGUCAUGUUUGGUCAUGUUUUGGUUUUUUUACAUGACAAUAUGGUUUGGUACAUGCUGAGUUAAUGAAUAUACAUUCUAAAGUGCAAUGUCCAUAUGUGAAUAAGAGUUGUAUACGUUUAUCAUAGUCAACAUGGUGUGGAAAUAUCCCUUAUGUAGUUGGUCAAUGGGAACUAUAGUAGGCCGUAAUAACAGCUAAGGUAAUUACAGGUGGAUAUUUCUGGGAAUUAACCUUAAAUGAGACUGCAUUUAUGAUAUCUAAGAUAUACAGGACAAGAAAAAUGCACUGGAUGUGUAUAUGUGUUGAAUCAAUUAUACAGACGCAAACUGGAGAACGAGACAA